GGCCUCCUGGUGCUUACCAGUCUGUGUUCUUAUACUGACUGUAUAGAAAGAGGAGGCAAAGUAAACCUAUCCCAUAUACACCUCAGCCCAGGCCCUGUGCCUGGUCUUUAUUGUGAAUGGGGAGACAUAG
rnacentral:snoRNA from 1 species